UAGACUAAGAUCCAGUACCCUUAGUGAGAGAUCAUUUGCCUUUGGAAGUUGUUAUCAUAACAGCAAGAACGUUCUCAGAUUGUACUCCUUGAAAAACUCAGCUUCAACAAAUGUUUUGAAAAAGCUUUUGUUUCCAGGUUUGGCUUCAACAUCAAUUAUCUCAUGUAAUGAAUGUUUUUAUAUUAAAGGUGGUGCUGACAUAAAGAUCUUUUCCUUAAGAUCAAAUUUGUAGGUAUGAAAAAUCUCGGUGAAGAUCAUCCCAUAAGGAAGAAUAAAUUUUUCA
rnacentral:lncRNA from 1 species